CCUACGGGAUGCUGCAGUGAGGAAUAUUGGUCCAUGGGCGGAAGCCUGAACCAGCCAAGUCGCGUGAGGGAUUAAGGCCCUGCGUGUCGUAAACCUCUUUUGCCGGGGAGCAGAGGUCCGGACGUGUCCGGGCCGGGAGAGUACCCGGAGAAAAAGCAUCGGCUAACUCAGUGCCAGCAGCCGCGGUAAGACGUAGGAUGCGCGCGUUAUCCGGUUUUAUUGGGUUUAAAGGGUGCGCAGGCGGGCAUUUAAGCCGGCGGUCAAAUGUCGGGGCUCAACCCCGGCCUGCCGUCGGAACUGGGUGCCUUGAGUGGGCGAGAAGUAUGCGGAAUGCGUGGUGUAGCGGUGAAAUGCAUAGAUAUCACGCAGAACCCCGAUUGCGAAGGCAGCAUACCGGCGCCCUACUGACGCUGAGGCACGAAAGUGCGGGUAUCGAACAGGAUUAGAUACCCUAGUAGUC
rnacentral:rRNA from 1 species